rnacentral:rRNA from 1 species
AUGAACGCUGGCGGCGUGCCUAAUACAUGCAAGUCGAGCGAACGGACGAGAAGCUUGCUUCUCUGAUGUUAGCGGCGGACGGGUGAGUAACACGUGGAUAACCUACCUAUAAGACUGGGAUAACUUCGGGAAACCGGAGCUAAUACCGGAUAAUAUUUUGAACCGCAUGGUUCAAAAGUGAAAGACGGUCUUGCUGUCACUUAUAGAUGGAUCCGCGCUGCAUUAGCUAGUUGGCAAGGUAACGGCUUACCAAGGCAACGAUGCAUAGCCGACCUGAGAGGGUGAUCGGCCACACUGGAACUGAGACACGGUCCAGACUCCUACGGGAGGCAGCAGUAGGGAAUCUUCCGCAAUGGGCGAAAGCCUGACGGAGCAACGCCGCGUGAGUGAUGAAGGUCUUCGGAUCGUAAAACUCUGUUAUUAGGGAAGAACAUAUGUGUAAGUAACUGCGCACAUCUUGACGGUACCUAAUCAGAAAGCCACGGCUAACUACGUG